GAUCUCUUCUGGAGAUCCCUCCUCUGGAAUUUUGCAGUAAGCCCGGGAUGUAGGUGGGGAAUGAAAAUAGCACCUCUAAGCCUUGAAGCAGAGAUCUCUGUCGUGUGAAGAUCCUUCCUUAUGAAGUUCAGAUCCAAGCUUUGUCUUCAGGGGACACAGAGACUCCUGCUACACCACAGUCACAGCCCAGAGAAAAAUGACAGCAAACUCGAUGCUGUUCUCAGCUUAUCUGCCAAGAUCAAUGUAAUGCUGAAGAUGCUGAUGUUCAAUGACAAAAGCAGAAAGGAAAAAUUGUUUCUUAUCUAAAAUCAAAUAGGUGAAGUAUGAAACUAUUAAAUCAUCUUGACUCUCAUGAAGAUCAGCACACACAAAAAAAAGCUGUAGUUCUUAUGCUCUCAUGUAAAAUUACAGAGACUGUGAUCUUACAGCACUUGCCUUUGCUCAUCGCUUGUCCUGUGCUCAACACAUUGCUGAGGGCCCUUCUUGGAGUUUGUGCAGCAUGGCAGGGAAGGUACAGCAGCUCCCAUGUUGACUGGGGAGAAGUAAAAUGUCAUGACAGCUCUGAUGAAAUUGCAGUUGCAAAGGGCCACUUGAACAGCCUCAAAGCUUGGAUGAAGAGAACAGCUCUGAAGUUCCACAGCUUCAUGAACAGCUUCUUUGUUGUCAAACCAACAUGAUGUGACAUUUAUAAGGAAUCUUCUGGGAACAGGGGGAUGUGCUGGAGUUUUUCCAUGUCCAGUAAAUAGAUUGUUUCCAGAUAGAGCUAGAGAUCUCUGCUUCCUGUGCUGAGUGAAGAUUGAUGAUUUGGAAGCCACUUUGAACUUCCUGAACCUUUUAAGAAUUUCACAGAGUAAGAAAACAGAUUAUCAUUCUUUCAAGCUAAAAGCUCAUUUCAGGUAAAUGUGCUAUGUUUGAAGAAUAUUUCAUCAUAUCCAUAGUGGCCAUAAAAUAUAUGAUUGACUACAGUGUACAACUGUGCAGAUCUCUGCUGCAAACCUAGAAGAGACCAGUCUUUCAAAAGGCACUGCUGAUGGGAUAAAAGCCCUAAAAGCUCUGGUACUGAACUGUAUGAUAUUUUCCUCAACAUCUAUAAAUGCACUUAACAGCCUGGAUUUUCCAUCAGCUCCUUGCAACUGUCAUCGAGAGAGACACAAUGCUUUAAUAAGUCUUUAAGGAUAGAAGAGUAACACUACGAACCAGAAAUUUGUCUCACUUUUUGAGUUAUUUAUAAUUCAUCCUCAGGCAAGACCUUCUGAUAACAAGUCUGUUUUUAAGAGUUUUUUGGUGUCUGUCACUUUGUGAGCCCCUCCUUACAUCAGGUGAUUAGUGACUGGAGUUCUAACGCACUUUACAGGAGGAAAGCAGAAGAAUCUGGUGCUAAUCUAAAGUUCUCAUACAGGACAUUCACUAGCACAUAUGAAGACAGAGUAUCUAAGAGAGCCAACCGAGAUCACCAGUUUGUCAUGCUGGUAUUCUUCCCAGCGCCUUAAAAUUAGAGCACAGGGAGACCAGCUUGUUAGAGGAAAAUAUGUCGUGACAAAUCCAGCCACCUGAGAGAGGCAAGGUUAUUGCUGCACCACUUUUCUGAGUCCAGGCAAUAUCAAGGCUGAAGAUGUUUUUCCAGUAGGCACACACACAGACUACAUGUGUAUAUAUAUGUGUAAACAUAGCU